UUGUGUAUGACUUCAAAUUGCAAAGUUGGGAAGCAGAGAAAUCGUGACACGAAUUUGGCAUCGUGACACGAUUUCGUGAUGCCGUGAGCUAGUUUGCAGGGUGCCAAAUCGUGACACGAUCUUGAGGAAUCGUGACACGAUUUUCAAAUUUGCUCGUUAAGUUUCCAGGAUAGGGACUGGUCGUACCUUGUGACGUACGUACCAAUUGUGACACGAUUUGGAAAUCGUGACACGAUUUUAUCAGUGGAAGACUAGUAUUUAAGUGUUCUUGUGCAGAUUUUGGAGGAGAGCUUGGAUGAGCUAGAAGAGAGAGAAACUUGGGAAAUCAAAGGCAGCAACUUUAGGGUUUAGGGUCUUUGAUUAGAGUUCUCUUGGGUUGGGAAACAUUGUAAACACCUUGGUGAGUGAAAAUCAUUGAGUGUCUUGUUCUUGGUGAGAUUGGGAAAAAAGGGUAGAAAUUAGGGUUGUUCUUUGUGAACUUGUCAAAGCUAAUUUCUUGUAACCCUUUUGUAUCUCUUUGAACAACUCAUUGAUAGUGGAUUGGAGAGUUCAAUCUCUCCUCCAGAGUAGGUCAAGUUUGGACCGAACUGGGUGAACAAUCUUUGGUGUGUUUUGUUUCUCUCUUCUCUCCUUUUAUACUUUGCUUGUGGUUUGUGCUUUUCACUUUGAUACCUAGAUUAGAUCUAGGUGGUGUUAUUGUUGAUUAUUGCUUGCAUUCACAUUGUCAUUGGUUACUACUAUCCUUUGUUCCACACAUCAUAGUUCGUAUUGGUGUGACUUUGAGACCGGAAUUCACAACA
rnacentral:lncRNA from 1 species